CAGCCGCCGCGGGAAAACGGAGGGUGCAAGCGUUAAUCGGAAUUACUGGGCGUAAAGCGCACGCAGGCGGUCUGUCAAGUCAGAUGUGAAAUCCCCGGGCUUAACCUGGGAACUGCAUUUGAAACUGGCAGGCUAGAGUCUUGUAGAGGGGGGUAGAAUUCCAGGUGUAGCGGUGAAAUGCGUAGAGAUCUGGAGGAAUACCGGUGGCGAAGGCGGCCCCCUGGACAAAGACUGACGCUCAGGUGCGAAAGCGUGGGGAGCAAACAGGAUUAGAUACCCGCGUAGUCCCUGUCUCUUAUAA
rnacentral:rRNA from 1 species